rnacentral:rRNA from 1 species
UGAACGCUAGCGGCAGGCUUAAUACAUGCAAGUCGAGGGGCAGCACGGUAUAGCAAUAUAUGGGUGGCGACCGGCAAACGGGUGCGGAACACGUACACAACCUUCCGGUGAGCGGGGGAUAGCCCAGAGAAAUUUGGAUUAAUACCCCAUACUAUAAUGAUCAGGCAUCUGGUUAUUAUCAAAGGCUUCGGCCGCUUAUUGAUGGGUGUGCGUCUGAUUAGGUAGUUGGCGGGGUAGAGGCCCACCAAGCCUAUGAUCAGUAGCUGAUGUGAGAGCAUGAUCAGCCACACGGGGCACUGAGACACGGGCCCGACUCCUACGGGAGGCAGCAGUAAGGAAUAUUGGACAAUGGACGCAAGUCUGAUCCAGCCAUGCCGCGUGAAGGAUGAAUGCCCUCUGGGUUGUAAACUUCUUUUACAGGGGAAGAAAGUUAUCUUUUUUAAGGAUAUUUGACGGUACCCUAUGAAUAGGCACCGGCUA